rnacentral:lncRNA from 1 species
UGGCUAAAAUUAGUCUCUGAGAUGGGACCAGAACUUGGAACUCUUGACCACAGUAGUGGUCAGACAGUUACAUGCAGUUGGAUGUGAUGCCAGCUACUUCGAGGAGCAGUGCGGGGCUCAAAGGGGGCAAUCCUGCAGUUUCUGGAACUUCCAAAAUACAUUGAAAUCAAGAUGGAAAUAUGUAGCUAGUUGGUGAAAAGGAGCAUUUCCUAUGGCAUUCUGACUGUAGAGGCAGACAGCCUGACUGCAGUCACUGUCAGGAAGAUCAUCUUCCUGCCGAGAAGGGAGUCCAAAUAACUGUGGAACACUGUCACCAAUCACAUUUUCUUCUAUUAUCUUGGUGGAGUACAUGUUUAGAAAGCAAGGCAAAUCAAGUGAUUACAAAGAAGCUUUGUCAACCAGAAAUGAGGAGAUGCCUGUUCACAAGGCACUAG